rfam:Echinococcus multilocularis genomic scaffold, pathogen_EmW_scaffold_10
GUGAGAACAAAAUUUGCAUUUUGGUUCGGCAGGAAUGAUGGUGGGCGCAUUGUGUGCCAUCACAGGAGUGUUGACAAUCGCCCUUCCCGUUCCCGUCAUUGUCUCCAAC